UGAACGCUAGCGGCAGGCUUAACACAUGCAAGUCGUGGGCAGCAUAAGGGUAGCAAUACUCUGGUCGGCGACCGGCAAACGGGUGCGGAACACGUACGCAACCUUCCUCAAAGCGGGGGAUAGCCUCUCGAAAGAGAGAUUAAUACCCCAUAGUAUCUUGAAACUGCAUGGUUUUAAGAUUAAAGCUCCGGCACUUUGAGAUGGGCGUGCGGCUGAUUAGGUAGUUGGUAGGGUAAAGGCCUACCAAGGCGACGAUCUGUAGCGGGUCUGAGAGGAUGAUCCGCCACACUGGGACUGAGACACGGCCCAGACUCCUACGGGAGGCAGCAGUGGGGAAUUUUGGACAAUGGACGCAAGUCUGAUCCAGCCAUUCCGCGUGCAGGAUGAAGCAUCUAUGGUGUGUAAACUGCUUUUGUACGAGAAGAAACACUCCUUCGUGAAGGGGCUUGACGGUAUCGUAAGAAUAAGGAUCGGCUAACUCCGUG
rnacentral:rRNA from 1 species